GGAGGUAGUGACAAUAAAUCACAAUGCGGAACUAUUAGUUUUGCAAUUGGAUUGAGAACAAUGUACAAAUGUUAUCGAUAAACAAUUGGAGGGCAAGUCUGGUGCCAGUAGCCGCGGUAAUUCCAGCUCCAAUAGCGUAUAUUAACGUUGUUGCAGUUAAAAAGCUCGUAGUUGAAUUGAAGUGAACUUGGGUUGAUGUGAUCUUCGGAUGACAUGAAUCAAAGUUGACUCUUUCCAAAGUCAAUACAUUGGUAUUCAUUUAUCUUUGUAUUGUGUUUGGUCAUUUACUGUGAGAAAAUUAGAGUGUUCAAAGCAGACGUUUGUUUGAAUACAUUAGCAUGGAAUAAUCAUAUAUGGCUUUCAUGUUGAUUUGAUUGGUUUGAAUAUGGAAGCAAGAUUAAAAGGGACAGUUGGGGGUAUUCAUAUUCAAUAGUCAGAGGUGAAAUUCUGGGAUUUAUGGAAGAUGAACAAGUGCGAAAGCA
rnacentral:rRNA from 1 species